rnacentral:lncRNA from 1 species
AUGAUGCAAGGCUGGGAAUGAAUGAGUGGCCAGACACGGGAACAGACUUCACAGCAUGCUUGCUCCCAACGUUGACAGAGCCUCCUGACAGCAGCUCCUGAAUCUGCAAAGUGCAAGAAAAACAUCUCUUCUGGACAUCUGCAAGAGAGUGAGGAAGAACUUCAUUCCCUCCUCUGAGCACUGUGCCAAGUAUGGAAGCUCCAUAGAGGAGGAGGAUUCAGCUGCUUCUGCCAGGAGACACUUCUCAGACCAGCCCACACCGCAGAGAAGGGAUUAA